AGUGAACGCUGGCGGUAGGCCUAACACAUGCAAGUCGAACGGCAGCACAGUAAGAGCUUGCUCUUACGGGUGGCGAGUGGCGGACGGGUGAGGAAUACAUCGGAAUCUACUUUUUCGUGGGGGAUAACGUAGGGAAACUUACGCUAAUACCGCAUACGACCUACGGGUGAAAGCAGGGGAUCUUCGGACCUUGCGCGAUUGAAUGAGCCGAUGUCGGAUUAGCUAGUUGGCGGGGUAAAGGCCCACCAAGGCGACGAUCCGUAGCUGGUCUGAGAGGAUGAUCAGCCACACGGGAACGGAGACACGGUCCAUACUCCUACGGGAGGCAGCAGUGGGGAAUAUUGGACAAUGGGCGCAAGCCUGAUCCAGCCAUACCGCGUGGGUGAAGAAGGCCUUCGGGUUGUAAAGCCCUUUUGUUGGGAAAGAAAAGCAGCAGGUUAAUACCCCGCUGUUCUGACGGUACCCAAAGAAUAAGCACCGGCUAACUUCGUG
rnacentral:rRNA from 1 species